CCAUAGACCUUCUCAUGUGAUCUGUAUCUAAUCUAUACUACUGUUCCUCCCUCCCAUUCAUUCUCUUUUCUGUUAGGAGGGCGUCUAAGACUCAGCUACAACAUGGAGACCAAGAACUGGGUCAACAUUAUCCUCCUUGGGUUUGGAUUCUUUCUUUUGUUCUCUGCGUUCCAAACAACUGCUUUUAUACAAACACUAACAAUUAGCAGCUACUUAUCUCCUACAUGCAACCCAGGGAAUAAAACUAGUUAUGGCGUGCUAUCUAGUUCAUUGGCAGG